rnacentral:rRNA from 1 species
GACGAACGCUGGCGGCGCGCUUAACACAUGCAAGUCGAGCGAGAACCAAACCUUCGGGUCUGGGGACAGCGGCGAACGGGUGAGUAACACGUGGGUAAUCUGCCCUCGGUUCUGGGAUAGCCCGGGGAAACCCGGAUUAAUACCGGAUGGCCUCUCGAGCUUUCGAGCUCGUGAGAAAAGGUAGCUUCGGCCUCCGACCGAGGAUGAGCCUGCGGCCGAUUAGCUUGUUGGCGGGGUAACGGCCCACCAAGGCGACGAUCGGUAGCUGGUCUGAGAGGACGAUCAGCCACACUGGGACUGAGACACGGCCCAGACUCCUACGGGAGGCAGCAGUGGGGAAUCUUGCGCAAUGGGCGAAAGCCUGACGCAGCGACGCCGCGUGAGCGAGGAAGGCCUGG